GCCUAAGCCCCCAGCUACUUUCACCUUUCUCUUCCGGCCUUUAUUCUUCAGGAUGUGGAUCUCGGCAUUUGGGGAUGCUGCCUGCUCCUGAACUGAAAGUAGGAAUCGAGAAUUGGAGUCAGGGCAAAGGGUACUUUUCACCCUCCCUGGUAGCCCUUCGAUUCUUCCAUUUCUGAUUCCCCAGCUCCCCUCCAUCCAGAGUUAACCUGUUGUGUUUCCACAUGACCUUUUUUAUACCCGCAUUUAAAGGAAUUUCAGUCAGUCUUGCAUUAUCUUCAAUCCUCUACUCGUUUGUCCAUCCCACUGUCCUAAACACCCGAGGGCAGAGCACCCCCAGCACUGCCUCAGAGCCUCCUCACCCCUCCCUGGGACUGGUAUGUGGUGGGAGAAUAUGAAUGACAUGGAGACAGCUGCUCCUAACACUUCCUCCCUUAUAGGAUCUCAGCUGCCUUGGCCCCCCAGCCCCUGGAGUCAAACUUACUUAGCUGUAGGGGCAUCACCACAGCCUUUUUCAGGGGCUUUGCCCCUGUGACUGUGCGAUGUGAAAGGGGCCGGAGCAUUGUGGGACAAUGGUUCUCCUUUUCCUCAGCCUUCUGGGCCAACAUCUUGGCCUCCAGUUCUUUUUGCUUCGUCUUAAGCCUCUGUUGGAAAGGAUCAGGGAGAUGUGAUCCAGACCCAACUCCAGGGCAGCCUGAAGGGAGUGGGUUACCAGGGUGAGUAUGCAAGGCUCUGAGCCCCCAGAGGGCAGGGCUAGGACCAGUGGGAGGUUACCAGGAGACAGGUGGAGCCUAACAUAAUUAAGGGCUUUCUGUGAUUAGGGGGCUACCCAGAGGUGGAACAAGCCUCUGCAAAUAUUGAAGGGAAAGGCUUUUCAAGCACAGUCCUCAAUUAAUUGAGCUGGGCUUUAGGAAAUGUAAUGUUUAACAUUUGUUGCUUUUACUUUGAACUUUUUCUUCUCACCCUCACAUCUGGUCUCAAUUGUCUGUCAAAGUUCAGCCAUGUUAAGGACAUUCAAGCAGAAGCUGGAGAACUUCCGGUAUUGGGAGAAAACUGGACUCUAGUCCAGCCUGAGUGUCCUUCCCUGUCUGAAGAUCCAAGGAUUGCUUCUCAAGGCCAAUAGGAAUCCAGCUCCCACAUCCCUAAAACACGUACCUCAAUCUCUAGGUCCUUCUCUUCCACUGUCUUCAUUAGCACCAUCCGCUCUCGCUUUGGGGUACUCAACAGAGGGGCCCCCUGGCUCCCCUGGGAGGCAAGCAGACGGUCCAAGCUGAGGAGGCGCUCCAGCAUGGCCGGGUCCAUGCUGCUUAGCUUCUGUAGGGGGCUGAGCAGAAAAAGAAGUUGCUCCCCACCUACCUCCUCCCUCAUCACCACCUACAGCAGCAGGACUCCCCUCACCACACCUUAACUUGGUAUAUCCUGUAGCUCCAGAACCUAAUGUUAACUUGCUAGGCAUCCAGUUUCUCUGGGUGCAGUGUCUUCAUCAGGUGAAGUGACUGCUCGGGGAUGCCAGGAAAUCAGGCGAACACUUGAGUGCCAGGUAUGAGAGACCUAAGACACUGCCCUGCCCUGGAGGCACUGUCUACUGAGGAAAUCAAGAGACCAUAAUAAGGUGACAGCCAGGACAGUGCCUAUCCAUUUGGAGGAGCAGUUGCGGAAAACAUCACAGAGGAUGCCAUCUUUAGCAGGGCUUUGAAAUCCACCGAAGACCUCAGCUGCCAAGCUUCCCUGCUGUGGGCAGCUGGGAAGGCCUGUUCAAGCAGUCCUGACUGACUCUGAGCACGGUCAGUUUGAUGCCACCUUUCCCAUGACGCCAAGCUUAACAAUGCAUCUCCCUUCCUAUGCUGUGAACUGGCUCCUGGAGGACAGGGACACUCCUGUGCUUUCCAUGCUAGUGCCUUGGAAAAACAGGAUCAGAACAUACGUGGGCAAACACUAGAAGUCAUCUCUUCCUUCCUGACUCUCACAGCAGCAGCAGCUACUCCUUCCUGAUUCUGAAUUCUCCACCUGGUAUCAUAUACUGAUGUUCCCAUCUGACUUGCUCUCCUGUGAGGCCCCCAAGCUCUGGGUCUGCUGGGUUUGAUGUGCCCAACUCUGAGCUUCCCCUUACUCAGAGUGCCUGUCUGACAGCUUACCUGUGCACAUUUCUGGGUGCACACAGCAGUGGGGAGUGCUGACAGAUGGUUUGGGAAAGACAAGACUGAGAGAUGGGGUCAUGAGUGCACAAGCAUCUUCUUGUGUGUGGCAUCUUCCUUAACUACAGUAGCCCCCUGGGACAGAGUGGGCACUAACCCUUGGCCACCUCAGGUCACCUCUGUUUAGUAGUUCACAGGCUUUAUUUGGGCUAGGGGUAGAAACAGGGCAAAGUUAAAACUGCAACUGGCUCCUGGGGGGUGGAGGGAAUAGCGCAAGGGCUAAGUGGCCAGACACAGAAAGCAAGACCCCUGAACAGAGAUGACCUGAGGAUUAGUACAUACUGGGCCAUGAGGUGGGGUGAUUGGAGUUGGGGCAGGAGGUGACACAAAGGACUUAGUUUAGAGGCUUUAUCUGGAUUGAGGGUAGACGCAGUUAGGACAGCAGCUGGCUCCCCGGAGAGUCAUGGAGAAGCUGGGCACUGACACACAGACCAGAUGGUCUCAGCAGGACAGCUCUUCCAAGUCUCCUUUGCUUUGCUCUCAUGGAUCUGAAAGAUCUGAUCCAGAUCACUCCUUGAACCAGAAGCAAAAAUGCUCAUCCUUGAAACAGCUGUCCCAAAGUGAGAAGUUUUGCUGAAGGCUAAAGGGGUUGGAAAAUGGAAAGGAUCCCCAGGAGGAGGCCUCCUUAGGUCCCCAAGGCAGCAGCACUGAGGAGAGAUUAAUCUUAGACUUUAGUGAUUCAAUGGAGUAGAAUUUGGGGGGAAUUUAUUUAUUUACUUAUUUAUUUAUUGAGAUGCAGUCUUGCUCUGUCACCUAGGCUGGAGUGCAGUGGCAUGAUCUUGGCUCACUGCAACUUUCACCUCCCAGAUUCAAGCAAUUCUUCCUGCCUCAGCCUCCUGAGUAGCUGGGAUUACAGGUGCCCACUACCAUGCCUGGCUAAUUUUUGUAUUUUUAGUAGAGAUGGGGUUUCACCAUGUUGGCCAGGCUGGUCUUGAACUCCUGACCUCAGGUGAUCCACCCGUCUUGGCCUCCCAAAGUGCUGGGAUUACAGGCGUGAGCCACCGUGCCUAGCCAGGGUUGAAUUCACUUAUUUACUUUGAGACGGAGUCUUGCUGUGUCGCCCAGGCUGGAGUGCAAUGGCCACAAUCUCAGCUCACUGCAACCUCUGCUUCCUGGGUUCAAGGGAUUCUCCUGCCUCAGCCUCCCAAGUAGCUGGGAUUACAGGCACAUGCCACCACAUCCGGCUACUUUUUGUAUUUUUUAGUAGAGAUGAGGUUUCACCAUGUUGGCCAGGCUGGUCUCGAACUCCUGACCUCAGGUGAUCCACCCAACCUCAGUCUCCCAAAGUGCUGGGGUUACAGGAGUGAGCCACCGCAUCCGGCCUAGGGUGAAUUUAAUGGGAGAGGAACAAGAUCACAGCUCUCUGCUCAAGGAUCUGACGGGCAUUGCAGCUCUGCUGCUAAGCCAUACAUCAG
rnacentral:lncRNA from 10 species